GGAUUAGAUACCCUGGUAGUCCACGCCGUAAACGAUGAUAACUGGUUGUGUGCGAUACACAGUGCGCGACUGAGCGAAAGCAUUAAGUUAUCCACCUGGGGAGUACGUUCGCAAGAAUGAAACUCAAAGGAAUUGACGGGGGCCCGCACAAGCGGAGGAACAUGUGGUUUAAUUCGAUGAUACGCGAGGAACCUUACCUGGGCUUAAAUGUAGAGUGCAUUGCUUGGAAACAGGCAUUUUCUUCGGAACUCUUUACAAGGUGCUGCAUGGUUGUCGUCAGCUCGUGCCG
rnacentral:rRNA from 1 species